GGAAGUUGUUCAUGCUAAAUACUGUGCAGCAUCUUUAAAAGCUGCUGUGGCUGAGUGACUUCAAGGCCACAGUCCACUAAACUGGCAGCCACAGUCAGUUUUUUGCUUCUGCUCUUGGCACAUCUCAUACACAGCAUCAGUUAUUGAAUUUGCUUUUGUUUUUUCUUUCUUUUUCUUUUUUUUCUAGUUCUCCAGAUAUUGGUGCAUUGUUGUCCUGGAGGAUGCUCAAAGAGCAAGAUGUUUUUCUCACUUCAGCCAUGUGACACCAUGAAUAUGCAUUGGUGCACUCAAGCAUUUUCUGUUCUAUGAGAUCACUAAUCUGGUCACAGUGUACGCACUGAUUACAUGCUGCUAUAUGGGAGAGCAGUCUACUCUCUUCCCCUCUUGCUGCAGGUCAAGCUGCUUAUUAAAUGAGAGAACAUGUAUUUGAUGCGGUGUUGCUGCAGUCUAUAGAACUAUCCAAAGGCUUCUCUACCAAUGCUGCAGCUCUCAGGAGAUAUCCAUAGGAACACAGCAUUUUCUCUUUUGAUGCUGUUUUCAAGAAGGCAAGACAGACUCCUUGGCAAAAAAAAGUUUGCAAAGGUAGGAUUAGAUAAUGCCAUACUUCAUCAGAGUAAAUAGUUUCUUUCUCAUUUCAUAAUGUUAAUUUAUAAACAGGAUUUCAG
rnacentral:lncRNA from 1 species